GAGGGGCUGGUCCUAUAGGAGUACAGUCCACAAGAAAGGCCAUUUCAGGAGCUAGCACUCCUAGCAGUAAUGGCUAAAAGAAUUUCCAAACGAAUUCCUUUGUAUGGUUUAUUAGUCUGUAAAGAAUGUUUUGAAGCCAACCCCAAGAACACCGAACUCCUGACCACGAAGUGCUCACAGGAUCCAUAUCACGAAAUCUCUGUAGAAAACCUGGUACGUGUUGCAAUCAAUUAUGAUAAAAAGAUGCUGGAACAAAUCAGACCACUGCCAAAGAUAUUUCCUCCAGGGAGAAGGUUUAUCCAAUGUAGGUAUCUAGAUGGGUUUUGUUCUUUUGGGCAUACUUGUAGGUAUGCUCACAACAGGGUGGAGCUGAAGGCUUGGAAUGCCCAGUUAGCAGAGGCUGGAAUCAUUGCAAGGAAAGCACGAUUAUAUGGUUUGGUCUGUGAGCAUUGUCUUAAAGCCGACCACAAGAACACCAAACUCCUGACCACAAAAUGUUCAUCGUCUCACAAAUCCAACACAGUAUUGCUUGUGCAUGCGGCAGUUAAUGAUAAGGGGGUGCUGGAACGAAUCAGACCACUGCCGAUAAGGUUAUCCCCAGGGACAUGGUUUAACCUAUGUAAGAAAGGUGGUAGGACUAAGUAUUGUCCUGAUGGGGACACU